rnacentral:tRNA from 1 species
GGAGAGGUGGCGGAGUGGUUGAACGCACCGGUCUUGAAAACCGGCAAGGUCGAGAGACCUUCGAGGGUUCGAAUCCCUCCCUCUCCGCCA